rnacentral:rRNA from 1 species
GACAGAGGUGGCGAGCGCUGUUCGGAAUCACUGGGCUUAAAGGGCGAGUAGGCGGUAGGGCAAGUCUGAGGUGGAAUCCUAUGGCUCAACCAUAGAACUGCCUUGGAAACUGUUCUACUUGAGUCAGUGAGGGGAGGGCGGAAUUCCCGGUGUAGCGGUGAAAUGCGUAGAUAUCGGGAGGAAGGCCGGUGGCGAAGGCGGCCCUCUGGCGCUGUACUGACGCUGAGGCGCGAAAGCGUGGGGAGCAAACAGG